UAGCCCGAAUCAGCACCCGCCGGCCGACGCUUCCGGAGGGAGCCGCUGCGGCGGCCGAGGCCGACGACGAGGCGCGGCGCCCGUUCACGGCUCUUAGCCAGGUCCACGCCGACCUCGCCCUGGCGCGCGUCCCCCAGGAGCUAGGUCUCGCGUCCCCGGCGGUCCCGUCCCCGUCCCUAGGUUCCUAGGAGAGGGCGGAUGAACGGAGGCGGCGAGGCCAGCGAUUAUGGGAGCUCGGAGGGCGCGCCUCGUCGUCGGCCUCAGCCAGAUAUGGAUAUUUAAAGGAAUUGAUCUUGCUGAAAUUAAGAAGAAUUUCAAAAUAUACCAAGAAGAAUGCCUUUGCCACGGUCAAUAAAGCUUUAUUAUAGGAAUGGAUAGGUCACAUGGUUGAGGAUCUAUGCUUGUUCUGGUUGCAGUCCUGUGGAUCAAGGUGUUGUUCUCGAGUGCUAGAGUAAUUUGAUUAUCCUGUCGGCUCUCAGCUUCCAGGUUCUAAUUAUAUGUGGUUCCAGUCCUGUGGAUCAACAUGUUGUUCUUGGGUGCUAGAUUAAUUUGGUUAUCCUAUCGGCUCCCAGCUUCCAUUAUAUAAGGACUUUGUGCUUUACUGUCGGUUGUUUUGUUCGGUUCUCUUGUUUUCUGAUUCUUUGCUUCAUCUGUUUCGCAUGUUGAUAUGCUUGUCUUUGUUAGGCGCUUGGCUCUGGGGUUUCUUGUUCUUCUUUGAUUAUGAUGUUUGUUGGCUGAUUCUAUUCCAUCUUGCUUUUUCAGGACUGUAUGUUGUUGGUUGGUCUGUGCUGUUCUUCUUUUAUCUUCUAUAUAGAUGAUUAAGAGCAAGAUGCAAGGACACAAAAAGCUUGGGAUGCAGAAAGGUUAGAGGUGAGCUGCCGCUAGCGCACGGUGGCAUGCUGCAUCUCCUAUCGGUGCUUGCGACAGGAGAACUACAUCCCUGGCCUAUUCAUCUAUGCCUCAGCUGCUGCCUCUCCAAGUAAUGCCAAACCUAUAGGCUAUAACAGGUUCAGGAGGUGUUUAUCCAAUGAUUCAGUAACUUAACAUUCUAAUUUACUCCCUCCGUCCCAUAAUAUAAGAACGUUUUUCACACUAGUGUAGUGUAAAAAACGCUCUUAUAUUAUGAGACAGAGGGAGUACUUAUCUUCUGCUCAUGGGGCAUGGUGUCUUUAGGUUAUUGAAGGGGAUUGUGUAUGGAUGCUGACAUUCAGACUGGUCAGCUAAGAGACCAGGACACGGAAUCUGGAGAGGUCCUUGGUCAUCAGCUGGUCCAUCAUGAGGUAUGUCACUGAGAUCAUGCAUGCUCCUUAUAAGCUGGGGAUAAACCGGUGGUGAUACACCGGUGCCGCGCCCUUCGGUCUUGGUGGCGUGCUGUCUUUUGGCUUCGCCGGCGGCACACCGGGUGUUUGCCGUAUGAUCUCGGCUAUCCGACUCCCUUCAAUCGUGCCGGUGACGUUCCUAUGUGAGCUCUGCUUCGGUGCCUACUUUUUCUCCCUUGCCCUUCAUGUGGUAGUUUGUCUGGGGCUGACGAGAUGCUCUUUGAGCUCCUUGUCUGACCUUCGGCUUCAGGUGUCAGCUGCCUAGGGGUUCAGUGUGGCUUCUCCAGCCACCCUCCCCUUCCGUCUGUCUUUCUUCUUGUAUUUGGCUAUUGUCUUGGGUGCCCGCCUCUGUUUUUCUUUUUUCAUUUGCACCUCGUGUGCACACUCAUGUAUUUGUACUGACUGAAGUCACCUUUUGACUUGGAAUAUAACAAGCGGUGGGCUUAUCCCCCCGUCAGUCUCGAUUUUUUUAA